rnacentral:rRNA from 1 species
GAUGAACGCUGGCGGCGUGCCUAAUACAUGCAAGUCGAGCGAACAGACGAGGAGCUUGCUCCUCUGACGUUAGCGGCGGACGGGUGAGUAACACGUGGAUAACCUACCUAUAAGACUGGGAUAACUUCGGGAAACCGGAGCUAAUACCGGAUAAUAUAUUGAACCGCAUGGUUCAAUAGUGAAAGACGGUUUUGCUGUCACUUAUAGAUGGAUCCGCGCCGCAUUAGCUAGUUGGUAAGGUAACGGCUUACCAAGGCAACGAUGCGUAGCCGACCUGAGAGGGUGAUCGGCCACACUGGACCUGAGACACGGUCCAGACGCCGACGGGAGGCAGCAGUAGGGAAUCUGCCGCAAUGGGCGAAAGCCUGACGGAGCAACGCCGCGUGAGUGAUGAAGGUCUGCGGAUCGUAAAACUCUGUUAUUAGGGAAGAACAAAUGUGUAAGUAACUAUGCACGUCUUGACGGUACCUAAUCAGAAAGCCACGGCUAACUACGG